UACGUAGGGGGCAAGCGUUGUCCGGAUUUAUUGGGCGUAAAGAGCGUGUAGGCGGUCAGGUAGGUCCGUUGUGAAAACUCGAGGCUCAACCUCGAGACGCCGAUGGAAACCAUCUGACUAGAGUCCGGAAGAGGAGAGUGGAAUUCCUGGUGUAGCGGUGAAAUGCGCAGAUAUCAGGAGGAACACCGGUGGCGAAGGCGGUUCUCUGGGCCUGAUACUGACGCUGAGGAGCGAAAGCGUGGGGAGCGAACAGG
rnacentral:rRNA from 1 species